rnacentral:rRNA from 1 species
GACGAACGCUGGCGGCGUGCUUAACACAUGCGAGUCGAACGGAAAGGCCCUGCUUUUGUGGGGUGCUCGAGUGGCGAACGGGUGAGUAACACGUGAGUAACCUGCCCUUGACUUUGGGAUAACUUCAGGAAACUGGGGCUAAUACCGGAUAGGAGCUCCUGCUGCAUGGUGGGGGUUGGAAAGUUUCGGCGGUUGGGGAUGGACUCGCGGCUUAUCGGCUUGUUGGUGGGGUAGUGGCUUACCAAGGCUUUGACGGGUAGCCGGCCUGAGAGGGUGACCGGCCACAUUGGGACUGAGAGAGGGACCAGACUCCUACGGGAGGCAGCAGUGGGGAAUAUUGCACAAUGGGCGGAAGCCUGAGGCAGCAACGCCGCGUGCGGGAUGACGGCCUUCGGGUUGUAAACCGCUUUCGCCUGUGACGAAGCGUGAGUGACGGUAAUGGGUAAAGAAGCACCGGCUAACUACGUG